rnacentral:miRNA from 1 species
UGGAAGACCAGUGAUUUUGUGUU